rnacentral:rRNA from 1 species
AGACCGAUAGCGAACAAGUACCGUGAGGGAAAGAUGAAAAGCACUUUGGAAAGAGAGUUAACAGUACGUGAAAUUGUUGGAAGGGAAACACAUGCAGUGAUACUUGCUAUUCGGGGCAACUCGAUUGGCAGGCCCGCAUCAGUUUUUCGGGGCGGAAAAGCAUGGAUUGAAGGUAGCAGUCUCGGCUGUGUUAUAGCUUUCCAUUGGAUUCGCCCUGGGGGACUGAGGAACGCAGCGUGCUUUUUGCAUGAGCUUCGGCUUAUCCACGCUUAGGAUGCGGGUUUAUGGCUGUAUAUGACCCGUCUUGAAACACGGACCAAG